AAAAUUAACAAAGUCGAACAGACUUAAAAUUUAAAACUCUUUUUUUAACCAAUUUUAAUCCAACAUCGAGGUCACAAUCUUUAAUUUAAAUAAAUUCUUUAAAUUAAAAUUAUG
rnacentral:rRNA from 1 species